AUCUUCUGUCACUCAGGGCCUGAGGGGGUGGGGUUUUAAACGUUAUCCAAUGAACGACUUUAGGCUGGGAACUGUCCAAUCAGACACGUAGCUGGAGCGAACAGGACGGAUUCCGGAACGUGGCGGGUCCUUUGUCUCCUGUUGCAGCUGCAGCUUUAAGUCUUUUCUUCGCUGCUCGGCGUCCUCAGCUGCAAGAGGCCCGGCGUCUGCGGCCCUGUGACCUACAGGUCUUCGGAGAUCCACAGCUCAGACGCGGGACCCCCUGGAAGCCUAGAAAUGUUAGGGUUAUUUCUCCCCAGGGGAGACUGUAACCAAGCAGAUGCAAUUUCAGCCCAGUCUUGAAGAAGAUAGGCCUCCGCUGGCCAGGGUGACUCCCAUACAUUAACAGAAGAAAUGAGGAACUGGGAACCCCACAGAGCAAAACUCUUCACACUCACGGAACCAGGAUUCUCCCGGAGUCAGGAUUCUCCCCUGAGUACCCUCUUGUGGUCCCUGCACAAUCUGGAAGAGACGCGAUGCUGCGGGUGCAGAGCUGCUCAGAGAUGACUCCAGACCAGUGCACAGUCAGUGCACAGGGAAGAGACAGUACACUAGGAACGGCUGUAAGCACAGCCGCCAUCUUACGGUUGAAGAGGACUGAGGCCGAGCUGGGCAAAGAGAACUCGGGGCACAGAUUGUGGAGCUGACUGCAGGGAGGCCUGAGUCCUGCCACAGCCACUUCCCAUCGGUUCCAACCAACCCCUUCCCUUCUCUCGGAAUGUCGGACUGGCAUGCUCACCAUUUCUGAACUUCCAGGGGGUCCUGGCGUUGUAGCUGUGGAUCGACCAAUAGCUGCAGGUCACAGGGCCAUAGAGGCUGGGCUUCUAGGAGCAGAAGACACAGAGAAGAGAAAACCAGAUCGGGAGCUCCGGCUGCAGCAAGAGACAAAGGCCCCGCCACAUCCCGGAAGCCUUCCUGUCUGCUCCAGCUGCGUGCCUGAUUGGAUGAGUCCCAGCCCAACGUUGCUGAUUGGAUAACGUUUAAAACCCCACCUUCUCAGGCCGUGAGUGACAGAAGAUAUCCGAUUCUAGGCUGAGUGAAGAAAACUGACAGCCUCUGCUGCAGCCUUUUCAGGCAGGCGCUUUCUCCCUGAGCUGAGCCCGGCCCACCACAGAAAGUAGCCUUUAAACUUGUGUGUAAAGUCAUAUGCAUUUUAAAAUAACAUUCUGUAUGGCUAUUCACAAAUGAAAGGAAUAUAAUAACAAUUAUUUUUAAAUUUCAGCUUUUUUACCUUCCUGGCUUCUAGUCUU